GACAAGAACUCGUAGCCUCUGUUAGAUCACCCACCAAUUUCCAAUACAAUUUCACUCCUAAAUCCUAAUCCUCCACCGCACCGCUUAAUUUGACUUCUUCAUCUUCCGCCGUAGAUGAAGAACAAGAACAAUGAAACGGGGCAGUUGCUUAGCUCCAAUUGCUAAAACCCUAUACAAAAUUGUUUUUAUAUAAUUGGCGCAAUGUAUGGGUUUGAAGAGUUUGUUUUUCUCGUACUGCAAUAAGAGGCGCUUUUAUAUCAGGAAGGACUGGAGGAGCCGAGGAGAUAACAGACCAGGUUAAUUUAUGUGUCUGAUUUACUUCUUUCUACUUCUGUUGCAUUUAUAGUAUUCAAUCAAGGAAAAAUAAAUGGCAAGUGAUGAAAAAUAUUUUCAACUAAUUAAUAGUUACUAUUACCUAAUUUAUAACUUUCAAGUCUUAAAGAUGAUUAUUGCUUAAUUAAAAAUGUCAACGAUCAUUAUUACCUAAUUACAUCAUAUAAGCUUAAAGAGAUUCAAGGAAUCCAUUUAUAAAUUACAAUGAGAAAGCGUAUUUAGGUAGAAAAUAAUAAGGAAGCAUAUUCAAUUGGAGCAGUUGUCUUGGACAAUUGCUGAUCUAUUCUAGUGUCAGGACAUUUCCUGGCAUCCGACAAGGAUGUAAUAUAGUAAAUAAUCAUAUCCAAGUCAUGUUGUGUUACAAAUUUAUCAUGAAUUCAUUCUAUCUAUGCCUCUCUAUUUAUAUUAGAUUUUUUUAGGGUACGAACUAACAUGCUCUACUGCAUAAGAUAUGGAACAGUGAAGCUAACUACCAGUCUUUACUUUUGUCUCUACUUUACUAGAAUAUUCUUAGCUAACUAAUUGGUCCCUCAGUUUUAUUUAAUUCUACCAAUCACCCUUGGCUUUGCACCAUCGUGUUAAAAAAUGUGUAUAUUUUAAGAUGUUACAGAUAGCAGGUAUUUGUUGAAGAAACAUAUUACAUAAAACGGCCUAAUGUGUAACGAAAUAUGAAAUAGCAUUCGAUUCGAAUAAGAUCUUUAGCUUAACAUGAGAUGUCAUAAACAGUUGAGGUCUAGAAUUUUUGAAACGAGAACUGGUUCAUAUUCAGUAGUCAACUCAAGACUGGAAGUAGUAUUCGUCAGCGUUGGUGGAGACUAGCGAGUGAUCUGUGCUUUGUGAAGCUGAUCCCUGGGAUGCUGGAAGAUGUUUUUACUCUUUGUAUUGAACAUUAGAAAAUCAAAUGAUAUGGUAAGAAAUUUACAGAUUUUAGUUAACACUUCAAAGCUCAUUCAAUUCUUGAGCAUAAGAUUAUUGAUCAGCAACUAUUGAUUAUAGAAGAAAAUCAAUUUGAAAGAACAGAUUAUUGACAUUUAUUUAACACACAAUACAGAGUUUCUGUGCAAUUAUUCAAUUUUGUAGUAAAAGGUUGAAUGGCUUGCACAGCUCCCUAGGGACUCUCUUAAACGCACAAGCACAAGUAGUUUACUAGGUAUACAUAACCAUAACCGUAGAGGUCUAUAGCGCUUUUCAACACUCUUAUCCCACACUGUUCACCAAGGCCUCUUAUAAAUAUAACUCUCUUAAGCACAUGUAUAACACUUUUCAGACCUUUUGCAUAGCUCCCACAAGACACCCUUAAACACGUAUACACUAGUAUUCUAGUACUAAAGUUUACCAUUCAUAGAACUUAUGAUCUCGCUGCCGUGCGAGUAUAACAUUGUCUUCUUCGUGGCUUGAUAUUUAGGUGUACAUUAGUUGGAGGCAAAUGUUCCAACAAAUCCGAAUCCUAUUAUGAAAAAAGCCCCUGCUUGCAAGAUCAGAUAUAGGAAGAAGUGAUCAUUGCCAAAAAGCAUGUUGUAGAUGGCACAAUGCGACAAAAACAUUCCCAUAAUCAACUCCAAGACAUGAAUCCUGCUUGGAAAAUCACAAUGUCUUAAAUACAUACUAGAUGAUUCAGUAAAAUGAUGUGUUUAAUGUUCAGAGAGUGCAAUGCUAUGAAUAUCGCCAGCGCCAACUGUUGUUAAGCUUAAGAUGUUUAGGUAAAAAUUAGUGAAGUGGCAUUAACUAGAUGAAAAUACCUUUCGCCUAUGCGUAAUCGGAAUCUGUUUGAUGCUUUGUUCUUUUGCUUAUUUGUGUUCCCUAGCUUCUCAGUCACAAUCCAUUCAUUGACUCGGUUAGCUUCUAGCAGUCCUAUAAAUGUUGCCUUAGAUCGAUGGAGGGACAUGACAUUCUCAAACAGGAUCCAGAAGACGAGCAGAUGCAAGGACCUGCAUACCAGUUGAAAUCACUAUCUUUUUUGGAAAUUAAGAAAGAAUGCUAUUAAAAGAAUAUCAUAUUACCUUAUUUAGGUUUUUAUUACCUUGGAGUACUGCCUGUAUUCAGAAUGGUUAUGGUUGCCGGAAGGUAUAUGGCUAAUGACCUUGGGAGUUGAAUUUCAGGAACCAAGACGCACAUUGGAAUAACCACACAGUAAAAGAAAAAGGUGACCCAAUGUGCAACAAUCUUCCUAACAAAGAAGAAUGCGUAGAUAACAUGAAUCUUCUUCCAGAUGGACACGCGCUGCAUUACAUAACAAGUUCAUUUGUGAUUUUCCUUAGAAGAUAAAUGAAAUCUAAGCCUUCUAUUUUCCGACUUACUAAUUUAAAAUAGAUGUUUUAAGUUGUCUUACCUUGCAAAGCAUGAUUUCCUUGGUUAUUUUCUUGAAAAGAUUAGCUGGGCCACAUGACCAACGGUGCUGCUGGAAUCGAUAAGCCUUGAAGGUACUUGGGAGUUCAUUUUUGAUCUAUUAAAGAAUUUUUCUUUUAUGAGAUUCUUAUUUUUGAACUUGGGGUAUUGUCAACUAAACGAAGGUUGAAACAAAAUUACCAUUAAGUCCCCCACAAAAACAAACUUCCAACCCUUUAGGCUGGCCCUGACUGCAAGAUCCAUGUCCUCCACUGUGGUUCGAUCUUUCCAUCCACCUGCAUCAUUUAUUGCUUGAAUUCGCCAAACACCAGCAGUACCUACAAUCAUAACAAUUAAGAAUUCCAUUACUUACAUUGCUUUGGAGUGAUUUCUUAGUAGCUACUAUGUCUAAGUGGUUUAUGCUCAAGUAUAAUGAAACUAUGGUUUACCAUUGAAUCCAAAGAAUUGACAUGUUGAGGAGCCCACUUCUUGUUCGACAGAGAAGUGAUAGUUAAGGGACAUCUCCUGUAGCCGGGUCAUUAGGCAGUCAUCCGCAUUAACUAGAGAAUAAAGCAUUUUUAUUAGCUUGAGAUACAUAAAAUAAAUUUUAGAACUGAAGCCUUACUUAUUCCACACAUGUCCAAAUUUUAUAUGCAUGCAUGGGUUUAGGUGAACAUAUUUAACCAUCGGACCAAUAUCUUAUAUCUAUGUUAUCUGAUAUCUCAUGGAACUACUGAAAAUGAUCAGAAGUUUUACAUGAGCAUAAUACUGUCAUUAGUCUUACCGAAUGCCCAUCUGGCCUGCACCAAACCCAGUUCAGGGUUUUCAAGAAGGUAAGGAAUAGUUCUCCAAAGAAAAUCUUCCUCAGGUUGGAAAUCUGCAUCAAAUAUCACAACAAAUUCACAGUCUUUCACAUACUGCUUCUGUAGCCCUUCACGUAGAGCUCCGGCUUUGUAGCCAUUUCUGUUGUUCCUCGUCUCAUACAUCACAUUCACUCCUUUCUCUAUCCAUUUAUGGCACUCUAACUCCACCAAAGUCUGCAUAUGUAUGAGCAUGAGAUUAAUAGAAUUCAACUCCUUUCAAUAGAUUCUGUUGGUGGUGUGAUUAAGUUGAAAGAGAUACCCUUAGGACUUCAUUUGUUGAGUCAUCAAGAACUUGAACAAUGAAGCGAUCUGAUGGCCAUGAAAGUGCACACACAGCUCCAAUUGAGAGCUUGUAGACCUAAACAAGAAGAAGCUGAAGAUGAGAGAUUUUAUAAGAGCUCUCAUAAGUAAGGUUCUUUAUAUUUAUUUGCCUGGUUGUGCUAUCUCAACGUGUAAGGUAUAUGAUCACAUAUAAGUUUCAAGAGAGAACUCUUUCUCUAAAUGUGUAAUAAUCAUAAAAUAGUCUAAGCUCUACUCCAACAAACAUCUUCAUAAACAAUAAACAAUAGUUAAACAUCUUGCUUUGAAUUUACUAUCACUCCUUGAUGAAUAUUUGAAUUUCUACAGUUAAAUAUGAAAAUUAACUGGCAUACUUAGCUUUUCUAUGUUUCCAGUAUUAUGCAUCUACUUCAUGCUUUAUACAUGUGAGUGGAAAUAAAAUCAUUUAAGUAAAUAAAGUGUCAUACCUCUCUUUCGUUAAACAUAGGUAUUUGGAUCAACACCAUGGGAUAACUUUUAUUUUGCUCUAAAUCUUCUUUCAAGGCUUCCAGUUUGUACUUGG
rnacentral:lncRNA from 1 species